rnacentral:rRNA from 1 species
CACUCCUACGGGACGCAGCAGUAGGGAAUCUUCCACAAUGGACGAAAGUCUGAUGGAGCAACGCCGCGUGAGUGAAGAAGGGUUUCGGCUCGUAAAACUCUGUUGGUAGUGAAGAAAGAUAGAGGUAGUAACUGGCCUUUUUUUGACGGUAAUUACUUAGAAAGUCACGGCUAACUACGUGCCAGCCGCCGCGGUAAUACGUAGGGGGCAAGCGUUGUCCGGAUUUAUUGGGCGUAGAGCGCGUGCAGGCGGUUUUAUAAGU